CGGGACGGGUGAGUAACGCGUGGGUAACCUGCCUCAUACAGGGGGAUAACAGUUAGAAAUGGCUGCUAAUACCGCAUAAGACCACAGUACUGCAUGGUACAGUGGUAAAAACUCCGGUGGUAUGAGACGGACCCGCGUCUGAUUAGGUAGUUGGUGAGGUAACGGCCCACCAAGCCGACGAUCAGUAGCCGACCUGAGAGGGUGACCGGCCACAUUGGGACUGAGACACGGCCCAG
rnacentral:rRNA from 1 species